GUCUAUGGCCAUACCACCCUGAAUGCACCCAAUCCCCCCUGAUCUAGGAAGCUAAGCAGGGUCAGGCCUGGUUAGUACUUGGAUGGGAGACAAGGCACUGCCAGUUGCCUCUCACU
rnacentral:rRNA from 1 species